rnacentral:lncRNA from 1 species
CAACCUUCGCAACUUCUGUCUCCUGGGUUCUAGCGAUUCUCCUGCCUCAGCCUCAGAGUAGCUGGGAUUACAGGAUGCCACUGAUGUUGACAGCUAUUCUUUUAAAAUACUGAUAUUCAACAUGACAAUGCAUGUGACCUGCCAAGGAAUUGAGAAGCUGAAAGUACAGUGACAUGGUUAUGACAGGGCUGCAAAAGACAUGACUUGUAAUGUCAUUUCAAAGCUUUCUCUAAAAAUAAGUUGAAAAACACAAAAUGAAUUUGCAUUUUAUUCAGCCAAAAUGAGUAUCUCUU